UGCCAGCCGCCGCGGUAAUACGGAGGGUGCAAGCGUUGUUCGGAAUUACUGGGCGUAAAGCGCGCGUAGGCGGCUUUUUAAGUCAGAUGUGAAAGUCCACGGCUCAACCGUGGAAGUGCAUUUGAAACUGGGAGGCUUGAGUAUUGGAGGGGGUGGUGGAAUUCCCGGUGUAGAGGUGAAAUUCGUAGAUAUCGGGAGGAACACCAGUGGCGAAGGCGGCCUUCUGGACGGUGACUGACACUCAGACCCGAAAGCGUGGGGAGCAAACAGGAUUAGAUA
rnacentral:rRNA from 1 species